AUUUGAACUGGUGGACUGAGUAAAGCAGAUGGCAACCCACACGUGGGGGGACUUCACCCAAUCCAUCGAAGGCCUGAAAAGAACAAAAAGGCUGACCCUCCGUGGGGAAUGCCAUUAGUGCAUAAAUCAAAGGAAGACUGUUUAUUUUCUUCAGAAUUCCAAGAGUUGUGUAUCAUUUUGGAAAAUCACACCACCCGCAGCAGCUCAUGUUAUCUGAGUCACCAAUCCCACUCCUCUGACUUCAACUGCAUUGGAGGGGUGGCCCAACCUGAGCUUCUUGGGGCAGGUGUCAGCCCCUGAUCACUUCUUUCUGUUGCCCAGAGGCGGGUGCCUGCGUUGGAAGUAAUCAGCAAAUACUUUGUCUCAUUCUUCUUUAUAUUUCAGUUAUGACAUUAUAUUAAUUUUUCUUAAAAAUUAUGGGUGUGAGUGAGUCAUAUUAUCCAGGAAUUUCACCUCAGAAUUGUAAACCAGGUGCUUGAAUAUAUUUGCAAUAAAAAUGGGGGUUGGGUCUGACAGGCCUAAAAGCUUACUGCUUUAAAAGAAAUUUUCUAUGGAUCAAAAAUGCCUUUCGAAGUGGAAACACCAGGGAAUCAUUUCCUUUCUGGAACCUGCCGGACCUGCAGCAGCCCUGCCAGGCAGAGCAGGAGAGGCUGGCGCUACAGCAUGAAAGAGCUCUUUCUCUUCAGCCCUCACAGGUGAAAAGACACGGACGCCCCGGCCACUGCUCAAACCAAAGGAGGAAAGACUCACAGACUCCUAGGGCCAUGUGGCCCUCAAUAAGUUAGUUAUGUAUAAUAUAAGCCUCAGUUUCCCCAUUUGUAUGUUGGCAGUAAAAGUAGCCCCUCCUGUAUUGACUUCCUGUGUGGAUCAAACACGAUAAGUAAGAUAAACCAUGUUUCAUGCUUCCCUCCACAUCCCUGAGCACAUAAUGCUCAAUUGAUGCAAAUGUGUAUUAUCAUCCAUACAGCAUUUAUGGUUUACAAAGCCCUUUUCCACAUACUGUUUCCUUUGAACCAUUCAGCAGUGGGGACUGACAGGAAGAACAUCUCCAGGGAGGAGAGGAGGCUCGGGGAUGCCAUGAUACUUGCCCUAGGUCACACUGGUGGCCAUGAAAAUGGCUUUUCUGAACUGGA
rnacentral:lncRNA from 10 species